rnacentral:lncRNA from 1 species
CGGGUUGCUCAGAGCAUCUACGUGGGGAUGAUUCAUCCCACAAUAAAGCCCCUCUCCUGUUGCUCUCCUGCCAGUGUGAUUAGCAAUGGAGGUUGUUGGUGCUAAUAUUUACAAAAGGAAGUCUCUAUAUUCUGUGUAGAAGAAACUCAAAAAGUUCUCUAAAUGAGUCUUUGACCCAGGCAGUCACCACUCUCAAGGAACAAGUCUCCAUGAAGAAGCUGUUAGGCAUCUGCCUUUACUCAAGACAUCCUCUGUCUAUAUUGUAUAAGGGAAUUUCCACUUUCAUUUAUGUCGCUUGUACUCCAUGAAAAUGUGCAGCCCUGGCAGUUACCCUGGAUGGUUUUGCUGUCGUGAUUAAAACACAGAUGGAGCUCAUCCCUUCCCUGGGUGUUUGAUUGGCAGACUCUCUGUGAUCAGCACUCUUCUCUGUUGAACACAUCAGCGCCAUCUGCCUUCCGUCUGCCUGGAGAGACUUGCCACAGUAGAGCUUCUUCAGCCUCACAUGAACCAGUGCAAAUGAUGUGCGUUCCUUUUGCUGAAGCCAUCAAAUAAAAAAGCUUUUUCAAGAAAAGCAAAAUAGAAUAUGUGAAGAUGCUCAUGACAGUAGGCUUCCAGAUUAAUGAAAUAUUCAUUUAAAUUGGACUUGGAGGAUAUGUCAUUUCUUUUCUUUGAUUAAAAUAUUUAGAGCAUAACACAAAAUCACUGUGUCU